rfam:Arabidopsis thaliana chromosome 4, complete sequence.
AAACCGUGGUGCGGGCACUGAGUGGUAUAUCCUUUGAAACGUUCCCAUGCCGCAGAAAAUGAUUCAGAAGUCUUCUGAUUGAAUCCCGAAAUCUCAUUCCUCAAUCU